GUUCUGAUUUGAUCGGGAUACUCAUCAAAUUAAUAUGAAAACCGAGUUGCUUCUCCGUCCAAUGGCGGGCCACAUAAAUCGCCUCUGCGACUAAGCCUCCGGGCCGGUGGAUUACAAAAGCGAAGAGCGCUCACAACUUUUUAAGCUGGAGUUUUCAUCACAUCGUCAGGGCAGUCCCU
rnacentral:sRNA from 1 species